rnacentral:ncRNA from 2 species
GGAUGCUUGGGGCGUCGAGGUUCUUCCGGCUUGCCCGGAAGCUAAGACGGGAAGCCGGUGCAAGUCCGGCGCUGCCCCCGCAACUGUAAGCGGCGAGCGGCGAUCCAAGCGAGUCACUGGGGCCUCACCGCCCUGGGAAGACGGAUCGUCCGCGCUGACCCGCGAGCCAGGAGACCUGCCUUUGACGCGAUAACGUC